GUUCCAGUUACAUCAGAUCCCCAACUUCUCAGGCCGGGUGUUCUGUAUCCUGUUUCAGUCCACCUUCUCUGAAUGGCUCUCCUCUAUCCUGCGCAAACUGGACAUCCUGCAGAGAGUGUGCACGACCUUGCAGAGUGGCCAGUGUGUGAUGCAGGUGCUGGGUCUGGUCCUGGCCUUUGGUAACUUCAUGAAUGGUGGCAACCGAACCAGAGGACAGGCUGAYGGCUUUAACCUGGAUAUCCUGCCCAAGCUGAAGGAUGUGAAGAGCAGCGAUAACACCCGGAGUCUGUUGUCCUACAUAGUGUCUUACUAUCUGAGACACUUUGACGAGG